rnacentral:tRNA from 1 species
AAAACAGUAUGUUAUGUAAACUACCACCCUUCAAAUGUGGAGAAGAAUUUAUCCUGUUUUA